ACAGCAUCACGCUCUAUCUCAUCUUCUUCUCAGUUUGCCUCUCUAGCUUCUUCUCUUCUAAUCCAACCACAAGAACUAGACAGCUACUAAACAAAACCAUACACAUAAGAGAAGAAACAGAGUUACAAAUUUCAAUCCAACUCGGCAGCACACCCACAACCUCAAAUCGGUGGCGCUUCUUCUCUUCCAAUCAAACUUAGUGGCACCACCCACAAUCUUCAGGUAGUAAAGGGGAAAGGAAAUAUAUCAAGCUAUGCCCACGCACAUCCUAGUACUAAUGGAAGCAAAUGGUCCAGGGAAGAGAGAUUUAGGAGUAAUGCCAAUGGUUUAUGGUCCAUGAACAAGCGGUGCAUAUUGUUUAGUUGCUUUGUGAAUUUAAAUUGAUUAAGUAUAAUUUGCUAGUAUUUCAUGAUGGUUUUAGGGAUUUCAUGUUACCAUUAUGCUAGGUCGAUAUAGGCUGUUGAGAUAAUUAAAUACAUUUCUUGAUUGUUGAGGAAAAAUAUGAGAAGCUUUAUGCUUUAUUCAGUUGCUGCAAAAUUAGAGAGAAGAGAUAGGAGUUUAAACCUUGGUCAUAGCAGGGGGUGAAUUUAGUUCCCAACUUCUUUUCUAAAAGCACCACCAGGGUCAAGGUGGUCUAGAGAAGUGUUUUCUUUGAAA